UGGGGAAUUUUGGACAAUGGGGGGAAACCCUGAUCAAGCCAUCCCGCGUGUGCGAUGAAGGCCUUCGGGUUGUAAAGCACUUUUGGCAGGAAAGAAACGUCAUGGGUUAAUACCCCGUGAACCUGACGGUACCUGCAGAAUAAGCACCGGCUACCUACGUGCCAGCAGCCGCGGUAAUACGUAGGGUGCAAGCGUUAAUCGGAAUUACUGGGCGUAAAGCGUGCGCAGGCGGUUCGGAAAGAAAGAUGAGAAAUCCCAGAGCUCAACUUUGGAACUGCAUGUUUAACUACCGGGCUAGAGUGUGUCAGAGGGAGGUGGAAUUCCGCGUGUGGCAGUGAAAUGCGUAGAUAUGCGGAGGAACACCGAUGGCGAAGGCAGCCUCCUGGGAUAACACUGACGCUCAUGCACGAAAGCGUGGGGAGCAAACAGG
rnacentral:rRNA from 1 species